CCUACGGGAGGCUGCAGUGGGGAAUAUUGGACAAUGGGGGCAACCCUGAUCCAGCCAUGCCGCGUGUGUGAAGAAGGCCCUCGGGUUGUAAAGCACUUUCAGUGAGGAAGAACGCCUGGUGGUUAAUACCCAUCAGGAAAGACAUCACUCACAGAAGAAGCACCGGCUAACUCCGUGCCAGCAGCCGCGGUAAUACGGAGGGUGUGAGCGUUAAUCGGAAUUACUGGGCGUAAAGCGCGCGUAGGUGGCUUGAUAAGCCGGUUGUGAAAGCCCCGGGCUCAACCUGGGAACGGCAUCCGGAACUGUCAAGCUAGAGUGCAGGAGAGGAAGGUAGAAUUCCCGGUGUAGCGGUGAAAUGCGUAGAGAUCGGGAGGAAUACCAGUGGCGAAGGCGGCCUUCUGGACUGACACUGACACUGAGGUGCGAAAGCGUGGGUAGCAAACAGGAUUAGAUACCCUAGUAGUC
rnacentral:rRNA from 1 species